AAACACCUCACCCAUGACCCAUCUCUCUCUUAUCUUCAAGACAUGUCCACCCAUCUCUCUUCUCGGAAAUCCAUCCUCCCCGCCCCUCCCCACGCCACCCCCGACCGAUCUAUUCGUAGACGGGGACGGGUUGAAUAAUUCCAUGUGUACGCUGGUGAUGAGCCGACGAGACAUGGCCCUCCUUGCCGUC
rnacentral:precursor_RNA from 1 species